GGAUUAAUGGCGCAUGCGAUGGG
rnacentral:snRNA from 1 species